UCAAACUCAAACUUAACUUCAGCUGCAUUACCCAAAAUCAUACCGAAACUCCAACUUUUGAAGUUAAGAUCCAGAACCCUAACGAGUCCUUUUUCCAACAUGUCUCUCACACUCUUUAUCUAUCCUUAGCCUUUGUCUUGGUUAUACUCGGUUUAGCUUCAAAACCCACUCUUCUUUCCCUCCUCGAACUUCGCAUAUCUUUUCGUCAACUUCUUCAAUUACUGCGUCGAUGUCUACUUCCUCGCCUCCGAUCACCGAUCAUCUGGCUGUAGAUGACAAGAAGCCCGCGCCGCCGCCGAAGCCAUGGCUCAUCGUGGGCCUCGGGAAUCCCGGGAAGAAGUAUGAUCGCACGCGCCAUAAUGUCCCUAGGUUUUGAGAUGGUGGAUCCUGUAGCUGAAGCUGAAGGGAUUUCCAGGUAGGUCUUGUGGGCAUUCAUUUUUUAAUAUCCUUAAUACCAGGAGCUACAGCGGUAGGUUCUCACGUAGUAUCUUUCUGGGCCUGUUUCAUACCCUCUGCCUUUUCUUUAUAUUUAUAUAUAUAUAUCAACAGAAGUUGCAUUCAUGAUGAACAGUUUCUGUGGUCAUUUUGGCCCAAUCUAUUCUAUGCUUCGUAUCUGAGCAAUGCUGUUUUUUAUUUUCUAUUAUCUGUGAGGCAUCUCAGCAGUGCAUGUGUUGUCCAUCCUGAAAAAAAGAAGCAUAUUCCAUUAUAAUGGAUUUCUGGUUGAAAGGUUGUGCUUUUGCAGAAUUUUGUCUCACAAGGAACAAUAUACUUUGAAUAUGAAUUUUGCUUGAAAUUUGACUGCAGAAGUUUUUGUCUUACUGAAAAGCGUACUUUCUUCAGAUCUGAACACAGAUUUUAUAUUUGUGAACUUUUGUAGCUUUUCAGAGGAGAAAAUAGAAUUUACUUGGUUUGACUGAAUAAUAGUAAAUGUAUUAAAAGACACCAUGUGCGCCUGAUCCAAGAAUUUAAGCUCAGUAAAAGAUUCUAGGAUUACGAGUUUUGAUUGUAUGAUUUAAGUUUGUAAAUAGAAUAAACAUUAAGAAGAACAACAGGCCGAGAGAGAUGAAUUUUAAUUGCUUAUUUGCUAUCCGUGGCAGGAUGAGGAGUAUCAUUGAUCACUUGAGAGGCAGUCGAGAUUACCCACGCUGGUUCUAUAUGUGAUAUCAGCUGAUAAAUGGGUGAAAGCAUUCUAGACAUCAUAUGGCGCCCUCCCGGGAAAAUGGAUGCUUCAAUAAACAAGAACGAGAUGAGGUUUCUGGUGAACACCUUCCCUAUGGAAUUGCCUCAUACCAAGACGAUUUCAUGUAGCCUUGAACAACAAAGCUUCUACGUCUUCCUUUGAUUCAAUUCGCCUCUCCCAUAAAAUAUUUUCUUUAAACGUCAAUUAACACCCACCCAGUUGUCGUUGUAAGCAGUGAUAUCAGGAAGCGGUGUGGGGUUGAAGAAUCGAGAGGGAGAACUGAUUGUCAUAAAAUCUGUAGAUAAGGCUUAGUUAGACACUUGUUGUGCAGCGCUCUGUUUCCAUGGCCGCCCUCAACGUCCUCCAUAAAUGCAAAACCAUCCUCAACUCCAACGCUUUACUCCCUUCUUACGUCUGCUUGCCCUCUUCUUCCUUCUCCCUCUUAUUUAUUGUUAUGGUUGAGCGGGAACUGAGCAUUCUAGGUAAGAGUUAAGACAUGAGUUUUGGCUAUUACAUAUGGUAUAGAGCAAUACAGAGGUGUGUACUAGUGAGGACACUGACCUUCAAAAGAGUGGAUUGUAAGCUUCCAUGUCGGUUGGAGAGAGGAACGCAACAUUCCUUUAAGAAUGUGGAAAUCUCUCUCUAAUAGACGUAUUUUAAAAUUGUAAGACGGAAAACAUAUAGAUAUGGUUUUAUUUCAUGACAGGAGACGAUUGGAGUUCAAAAUUGGAGUUCAAAAAAGGGAGUAAUGUCCCAUUCAAUUCAAACAUUCACAUGAAGGCACCGCCCCCAUUGUUGUCUUUUCUUUUUUGUAUUUAUUUAUUCCUAUUCAUAAUAAGAAUUCCCAUGUGCCCUCCUAUUAAAU